rnacentral:tRNA from 11 species
UGCUUGGUUUAUCGCUCGGUCUUCAGAUCCAAUGAGCGGUUUCUUCUGUGUCAGCAAGGAGGUUC